rnacentral:rRNA from 1 species
AGCGAACGUUAGCGGCGCGCCUAACACAUGCAAGUCGCACGGAGUAGCAAUACUCAGUGGCGCACGGGUGCGUAACACGUAGAUAAUCUGCCCUUCGAAGGGGGAUAACGUUCCGAAAGGAGCGCUAAUACCGCAUAACGCCAUUUGGGGUUCGCCCUGGGUGGACAAAGGCUGGGAUCGCAAGACCAGUCGUCGAAGGAGGAGUCUGCGGCCCAUCAGCUAGUUGGUAAGGUAAUGGCUUACCAAGGCAAAGACGGGUAGCUGGUCUGAGAGGAUGAUCAGCCACACUGGUACUGGAACACGGACCAGACUCCUACGGGAGGCAGCAGUGGGGAAUCUUGGUCAAUGGGCGCAAGCCUGAACCAGCGACGCCGCGUGAGUGAUGAAGGCCUUCGGGUUGUAAAGCUCUGUGGGGAGGGACGAAAGACUGAGGUCUAAUAGGCUUCAGGUUGACGGUACCUCCUUAGCAAGCACCGGCUAACUCUGUGCCAGCAGCCGCAGUAAAAC